AAGGCUUCGUGUCUCAUCGCGUUAAACGAUCGCAGAACAAUUUAUUUCUCUUUUUCACCUCGAUCUUUGGCCUCUUGUGAUUUACCAAAACCAACAUGUGAAGUUACAACGCUGACGAAGGAGUUUCAUCAGUAGAGUGUGUCCUGGUAAACGUGUGCUCGGAAACAUGCAGAUUACAGUAUUUACAGAGCCGACCUUGAGGCACCCACUGAUGGAUAAUCUGUUUACCUAAAAACAGCACUUCAGGAGAAACCUGCCUGUGAUCUGCUAAGAUGCACAGAUUCAACUCUGGCCCAUUGUCAUCCCAACACCUCAUCUGCCAUCAGUUUCGUUUAGUGUCGGUCUAUUGCAAAAGUUCUAAUAAACUUUAAAUGAGACUUUGUGUUAAGCAGGGGUUUCCAAACUUUAAAUUCCACAACAUAUUAAGCCCAGGAUACACAGCAGGAUUUUUGCAAUCCAAUAAGACCUUAUCACACUGUGUGACAAGGAUUGUUUAAACUUCAGCAGUAGACUGUCGAUGAAGACACCUAUUGCAUCUGAGGCUGCAACAUCCGUCAUCAGCAUGCGCUAGUGGUAAACAAAUACAGGUAUGCAGGUCGUAGAAGCAAACACAUUGUUGAUGUGCGAUGAUCAUGCUGAACUUCUUACACUGUCAUAAAACUAUCGUAGGUGUCUUUGGUCCAAGGACUGGGAAAACAGACGUCUUUAAACCUCUCACACUGUAUGAGAUAGGACCACCAAUUAAGAGCCACGAUCACAGAAAUCUCCACGAUUGUUUCACGAUUGGUAAUCUUUCAUCUGGGACAGCCAAAAAUCGUGCUGUGUAUUAUGGGCUUUAGACAGGUGUAAUCUUAUAGUAUAUCAAAACCAUUGCUAAUAAUUAAUUGGACAAACCAUCACUACAAUGCAACACUCACUAUCUUCCGGUGCGACCCACAAGUGGGUCUUCACCCACAGUUUAAAAACCCUGAGUAUGAGAAAGAGUAUGUUGAAUUGUAAUUAAAGUCACAUCUAAGUGUUAUGGAACAGUUUGUCAUUAUAUUCACAGUAUUACAUGGUUCUUUCAGCAGUUACUACGUUACAGUGCUCUUAAAGUGUCCUGAUCAGCUUUGGGUCUUGUGAAGUAAUGUCAUGAGAACGUGAUCAAUAGCUUUGCAGUAUUUUGUUACACUGUGGCUGUAAUCAUAUUAACACAUAGGUUAAACAUUUUAUUCAAAUUUGGUAAACAAACUAGUCAAUAUAAUUCAUGCUGUGAUGCUGGAUUAAACCU